UCUUCCAAACAUAAGAAUUGGGCCCCGACUCAAGAAGCCUACCUUCGUUCUCAGUCAUCUUCUCCAGAACACUAAUAUCAUUUUUCCUUGAAAGAGCUAAGAUUAGAGUAACGGCGCAAAUCACUUAAGAGCAUGCCAUUAAUCUUCACAUUCAAUUUCAGUAAAGUCUAGAACCCACUACUUCUCACACCGUCCUCUUCAGCUUCUUCGCAAUCUCAUACCUAUAAAAAGGCAUCUCCUGUGCCAUGAUUUUCACAGAUUCCUUCAUUUUCCACUCAACAUAUAAAGAUGAACCUUGAAGAACCAUAGCGACUUCCAAGACAGCACUUUCUGAAUUGAAGCCUGAGCCUUGCAGUCGAAUCGUUGUCUCACGCAUCUCCGUUUUGGAAGCUAUGAAUGUGAAGAAUAUGUGAUCACUGUUGAUCCUCAGAUUAUUGAGUUUCUCUUCACUGCCAAAUUGAACGAAAUUCAUGCGGAUAAAGGUUGGUGUUAUGGCUGCCCUCGCGUGUUCAAAGAAACUGGUGCGAAAGAUAUAUUCAUUCACAUGUCUCUUUUUUAAUAAGACUGAUGAUGUGGGUGUGCUGAGGUUCGUGUGGAACUCUCUGUGUUGACAUACUGGUUCAGCUGUCUUAGUGGCCUUUGAUGAGGAGAUGGCUACAAUUACCAACAUUCAAGCUUCUAAAGCUGUGUAUAUUGUGGUAUACCCUGAUAUUAAAGUCUGUCUAUUAACCUUAGCUACUUUUUAAAGAACCAUGAUUUCUAAAUAUAGAACUCUCCGGAGUUGCAAGGGGUAGGGGUCAAUGCUAAGGUUGAUAGGGACCUAAGUCAGUUCAUUACUGAGAUUGUUAAUAGCAACGUACCCAUUCCAGCUCAAGCUAACUGCUUUCAAUUUCACUUCAAACCACCAAACCUUCACCAUUUCCCGUAUAUUUACUGUGCUGGAGCAUCCACAUGUGCCAUCCUUUGUUAUAGAAGUAUCCCAUUCCUAAUUUAUAUCUGCUGCUCUGACAAAUAUUUAAUCUCUGAAAGCUAAGCUGCCUGGAGUCGAGACACAAGGAUCAGCUGUUGAUUGCAAUGUUUCAGCAGUAUCAACCAAGCAGCAACUUGAUCCAGAAGAAAAUGGACCGAAGAAAGUUGCACCACCGCAAAAUGAACUUAUGAAACUUUUGGCUUUAGCAUCUUCUCAAUUUCUGUUUAGCAUCUUCCCAAUUUCUGUUUUCCUUUUUUUGUCUUUAAAUUCGAUGUGGUGGUCGAUGCUUGAACUAUUAAUGAAAUUUCGUUUUUCUC